rnacentral:rRNA from 1 species
UACGUAGGGUGCAAGCGUUGUCCGGAAUUAUUGGGCGUAAAGAGCUCGUAGGCGGUUUUGUUGCGUCGGCUGUGAAAUCCCGAGGCUCAACCUCGGGUCUGCAGUCGAUACGAGCAAACUAGAGUGUUGCAGGGGAGACUGGAAUUCCUGGUGGUAGCGGUGAAAUGCGCAGAUAUCAGGAGGAACACCGGUGGCGAAGGCGGGUCUCUGGGCAACAACAUGACGCUGGAGGAGCGAAAGCGUCGGGGAGCGAACAGG